GACAGAGGUGCCAAGCGUUAGGCGGAAUCACUGGGCUUAAAGCGUGUGUAGGCGGAAUUGUAAGUACCUUGUGAAAUCCCACGGCUCAACCGUGGAACUGCUCGGUAUACUGCUUUUCUUGAGCCACUUAGGGGCUGUCGGAACAAACGGUGGAGCGGUGAAAUGCGUAGAUAUCUGGAGGAACACCGGUGGCGAAGGCGACAUCCUGGACCGGUAUUGACGCUGAGGCGCGAAAGCCAGGGGAGCAAACAGG
rnacentral:rRNA from 1 species